AACGACUCUCGGCAACGGAUAUCUCGGCUCUCGCAUCGAUGAAGAACGUAGCGAAAUGCGAUACUUGGUGUGAAUUGCAGAAUCCCGUGAACCAUCGGUUUUUGAACGCAAGUUGCGCCCGAAGCCUUCGGGCCGAGGGCACGCCUGCCUGGUCGCC
rnacentral:rRNA from 1 species